rnacentral:rRNA from 1 species
AACGAACGCUGGCGGCGUGCCUAAUACAUGCAAGUCGAACGAGAAAGUCACUUCGGUGGCGAGUACAGUGGCGCACGGGUGAGUAACACGUAGGUGACCUGUCCUAUAGCGGGGGACAACAGAAAGAAAUUUCUGCUAAUACCGCAUAAUCUCGCAAAGUUUAAAAACUAGUGAGGAAAGAUGACCUCUCCUUGGAAGUUAUCACUAUAGGUUGGGCCUGCGGGCCAUUAGCUUGUUGGUGGGGUAAAGGCCUACCAAGGCGACGAUGGAUAGCCGGUCUGAGAGGACGAUCGGCCACACUGGAACUGAGACACGGUCCAG